AAUUAGCAGGUGUCACCAAGAGUUCCCUUGACCACUUCAUUGGGAAAUUGCCGUUUUUGCAACUAUAUAUCCUGCGGAAGUGUUUGGGAGAACUCCUGUUGGCAUUUGAUUUU
rnacentral:pre_miRNA from 1 species